AGCUAAUAGAUACCCUGGUAGUCCACGCCCUAAACGAUGAUCACUCGAUGUGUGCGAUACACUGUACGCGUCUGAGCGAAAGCAUUAAGUGAUCCACCUGGGGAGUACGACCGCAAGGUUGAAACUCAAAGGAAUUGACGGGGCCCGCACAAGCGGAGGAGCAUGUGGUUUAAUUCGAUGAUACGCGAGGAACCUUACCAGGGCUUGAAAGUUAGUGAAGGAUGUGGAAACAUGUCCGUCAGCAAUGACACGAAACUAGGUGCUGCAUGGCUGUCGUCAGCUCGUGCCGUGAGGUGUUGGGUUUAAGUCCCGCAACGAGCGCAACCCCUAUCAUUAGUUGCCAACAGGUCAAGCUGGGGACUCUAAUGAGACUGCCCGCGCAAGCGGUGAGGAAGGUGGGGAUGACGUCAAGUCAUCACGGCCCUUACGUCCUGGGCUACACACGUGCUACAAUGGCCGGUACAGAGGGCAGCCACAUGGUAACAUGGAGCUAAUCCUUAAAGCCGGUCUCA
rnacentral:rRNA from 1 species